AGGAGGAACAUCCACAGUGGCGGGGCAGCUCUGCAGCCCUGGAUUCAGCCCCCGCAGGAACUCCAGAGCUCUCCGUCUUCAGGGCCUGGAGGCUCCGGGGCGGG
rnacentral:pre_miRNA from 1 species